rnacentral:rRNA from 1 species
CCAGACUCCUACGGGAGGCAGCAGUGGGGGAUAUUGCACAAUGGGCGCAAGCCUGAUGCAGCGACGCCGCGUGAGCGAAGAAGUAUUUCGGUAUGUAAAGCUCUAUCAGCAGGGAAGAAAAUGACGGUACCCAAAGAGGAAGCUCCGGCUAACUACGUGCCAGCAGCCGCGGUAAUACGUAGGGAGCGAGCGUUGUCCGGAAUUACUGGGUGUAAAGGGAGCGUAGGCGGGCGAGAAAGUUGAAUGUUAAAUCUACCGGCUUAACUGGUAGCUGCGUUCAAAACUUCUUGUCUUGAGUGAAGUAGAGGCAGGCGGAAUUCCUAGUGUAGCGGUGAAAUGCGUAGAUAUUAGGAGGAACACCAGUGGCGAAGGCGGCCUGCUGGGCUUUAACUGACGCUGAGGCUCGAAAGCGUGGGGAGCAAACAGGAUUAGAUACCCUCGUAA